ACGAGGAUAACGACUGGAAACGGUACGGCUAAAACUGGAUAGGAUCAUUUGAGGCAUCUCGAAUGAUUUAAAGGGGCUUUCGAAGCCACACUUAGAGAAAGGCCUGCGGCGCAUUAGCUAGUUGGUGGGGUAGAGGCUACCAAGGCGAUGAUGCGUAGCCGGACUGAGAGGUCGAACGGCCACAUUGGGACUGAGACACGGCCCAAACUCCUACGGGAGGCAGCAGUAGGGGAAUUUUCGGCAAUGGGGGAAACCCUGACCGAGCAACGCCGCGUGAAUGAAAGACGUAUUUCGGUAUGUAAAGUUCUUUUAUUAAGGAAGAAUAUCACGGAUAGGAAAUGAUCUGUGAGUGACGGUACUUAAUGAAUAAGCCCCGGCUAACUAUGUGCCAGCCGCCGC
rnacentral:rRNA from 1 species